UACGGAGGGGGCUAGCGUUGUUCGGAAUUACUGGGCGUAAAGCGCGCGUAGGCGGACCUGCAAGUCGGGGGUGAAAGCCCGAGGCUCAACCUCGGAACUGCCUUCGAUACUGCGGGUCUCGAGUCCGGGAGAGGUGAGUGGAAUUCCUAGUGUAGAGGUGAAAUUCGUAGAUAUUAGGAAGAACACCAGUGGCGAAGGCGGCUCAUUGGCCCGGUACUGACGCUGAGGCGCGAAAGCGUGGGGAGCAAACAGG
rnacentral:rRNA from 1 species